AUGUCAAAGUCUCAACCUGAUGCUACCCUCCCUCAUUCUCCUAAAGUGCCCAACUCUUCAUGCAAAGCUUCUACAUCUGGUGAUGCUAAAGGUACCAGUGAUGCUGAAUAUGUGGAGAUAGCACAUGCUACAGGAGUAAAAAUUCUUAAACAUCAGUGGGCUGCUGCUCUUCAGGCCAAAACACCCACUUCAAUGGUGCGUGUUCUUCUGAUGGCUGCCUUCCCACUGGAGGUUUUGAUCCAGAGCAAUUUAAAAGGACACAGCAAAACAGACAUCGGCGCAGAGCGAAGAACUGCCCUUGAUAAAGAAACCAUGACAGCCAUAUAUAGUAAGUGAAGACUGUGUAUGUAAAAUUGCAUACUGCACAAGUAACUCACUUUGCAACAAUAAAAAUUGCACAAAGAGGUGAUGAUGCAUUGAAGUAGUGUGACUCAGACGAAGAAGGUCAACAGAUUGAAUGCUGGAGAGUAAGGAUAGAUGACCAAAAGGGGUGUUAGUAUUACUGUAAUGUGAACUGGAUAGAAUUUCCAUCGGGGGGAAAAAAAAGGUAAAAUUAUGUGUAAAAUAUAUCUGUAUCUCUAUAAACGGAAAUAUCUGUUUCCU
ensembl:lncRNA